AGACGAGUCGAACGGUAACAGGAAGCAGCUUGCUGCUUUGCUGACGAGUGGCGGACGGGUGAGUAAUGUCUGGGAAACUGCCUGAUGGAGGGGGAUAACUACUGGAAACGGUAGCUAAUACCGCAUAACGUCUUCGGACCAAAGAGGGGGACCUUCGGGCCUCUUGCCAUCGGAUGUGCCCAGAUGGGAUUAGCUUGUUGGUGGGGUAACGGCUCACCAAGGCGACGAUCCCUAGCUGGUCUGAGAGGAUGACCAGCCACACUGGAACUGAGACACGGUCCAGACUCCUACGGGAGGCAGCAGUGGGGAAUAUUGCACAAUGGGCGCAAGCCUGAUGCAGCCAUGCCGCGUGUAUGAAGAAGGCCUUCGGGUUGUAAAGUACUUUCAGCGGGGAGGAAGGCGAUGAGGUUAAUAACCUUGUCCAUUGACGUUACCCGCAGAAGAAGCACCGGCUAACUCCGUGCCAGCAGCCGCGGUAAUACGGAGGGUGCAAGCGUUAAUCGGAAUUACUGGGCGUAAAGCGCACGCAGGCGGCGUGUCAAGUCGGAUGUGAAAUCCCCGGGCUCAACCCGGGAACUGCAUUCGAAACUGGCAUGCUAGAGUCUUGUAGAGGGGGGUAGAAUUCCAGGUGUAGCGGUGAAAUGCGUAGAGAUCUGGAGGAAUACCGGUGGCGAAGGCGGCCCCCUGGACAAAGACUGACGCUCAGGUGCGAAAGCGUGGGGAGCAAACAGGUAAACCCCCCCGGGGGGA
rnacentral:rRNA from 1 species